rnacentral:rRNA from 1 species
UGAGGAAUUUUGGACAAUGGGCGAAAGCCUGAUCCAGCAACGCCGCGUGAGUGAUGAAGGCCCUCGGGUUGUAAAGCUCUUUCAGGGGGAACGAGGAAGGACGGUACCCCCACAAGAAGCACCGGCUAACUCCGUGCCAGCAGCCGCGGUAAUACGGAGGGUGCGAGCGUUGUCCGGAAUCACUGGGCGUAAAGCAGGUGCAGGCGGCCUGUUGUGUCGGGUGUGAAAUCCCGUGGCUCAACCACGGAACUGCGCCCGAAACUGAUGGGCUUGAGUGCGUGAGGGGAUGGUGGAAUUCUCGGUGUAGAGGUGAAAUUCGUAGAUAUCGAGAGGAAUACCGGUGGCGAAGGCGACCAUCUGGCUCGUUUCUGACGCUCAGACCUGAAAGCGUGGGUAGCAAACAGA